rnacentral:rRNA from 1 species
AAAUAAAAAAAGCAUUAAACGGAUACCUUGACAAAAGAUUCUAUUGGAUGUUGUACAACAAAAAUUUUAGCUGAGCUGUAAUGCUGGGACGCUGAAAUGUCCAAUAAAAGAAAUUUUUCUCUUGGAAGUUUUCAGAAAAGUGAAUUGAAACAUCUUAGUAACUUUUUAAGAAAUCAAACGAGAUACUGAAAGUAGUGGCGAACGAACUCAGUACAGGCAAAAAACAUAGAUAAAACACCAAUUGAACCUCGAGACCAGAGAAGGUUUAAGUCCUGUAGAUCGGCAAAAACUGUGUUUUUAAGUAAAAGAGGUUGUACUCUUUGAACAAUGGGGGACCACCCUCAAAGCCUAAAUUUUGGUCUUUUGAUCGAUAGUGAACGAGUACUGUGAAGGAAAGGACAUACAUCCUAGGAUGUUUUGAAAUUUAAUGCUAGCAAUCGGUUGGAGCUUUAUAAAGUGACAGCGUACCUUUUGCAUAAUGGGUCAGCGAGUUUUUAAAAAAGGCAAGCUUUUAACGAGGCGAAGAAAAUACGAAUUUUAAAAAAUAACCAGUCUUUUUUAAAAGACCCGAAACUGAGUGAUCUAACCUUGAACAGGCUGAAGACAGAGUGGUAACAUUCGUUGGAGGGCCGAACCCGUGUCUGUGGCAACAUACUGGGAUGAUUUGAGGUUAGGAGUGAAAGGCUAAUCAAACUCAGAGAUAGCUGGUUUUCUGCGAAAUCUAUUUAAGUAGAGCGAUCAAGUAAAACUUUUUGGGGUAGAGCACUUUUUAGAUGAUGGGGCAAUUUCGCUUACUGAUUUUAAGAAAACUCCGAAUACAAAAAGCUCUGAACUUGAUCAGACAGACCAUGGGUGCUAAGGUCCAUGGUCAAGAGGGAAACAGCCCAGAUUGAUCGCUAAGGUCCCAAAGAAAUCUUUCAGUUUAAGGAAGUAAGAUUACGAAGACAACUAGUAGGUCGGCUUGGAAGCAGCCAUCCUUGAAAGAAAUCGUAACAGAUCACUGGUCGAGUAAUUUUGCACCGAAAAUUUAUGGGCAUUAAAAGAUUCGCCGAAGCGGCAAACUUUUUUAAGUGGUAGCAGAACGUUCUGUGAAAUCAAUGAAGAAAAUUUGAGAAAAUUUUUCGAGAAAUCAGAAGUGAAAAUGCUGACAUGAGUAACAAAAAACAAUGUACAGAAUCAUUGUGGCUGUAAAUCCAAGGGUUUUGACGGAAGGAUUAUCCGCGUCAUGCCAUCUUUCGAUGGACAUAUUAGACGGUCCCUAAGAACGCUGAUGACAAUCAGGUUUGAUGGGUUAAACGUUUCGUUUCUUUAAAAAAAUGACAGAUUCUUAAGAUUAUUUUUAGUUUAUAGAGGAAACUAAAGGUGGUGGACGAAUUUCAGGAAAAAGUUUUUUUACUGCACAAACCGUACCUUAAACCAACACAGGUGGAUGGGUGGAAUACACUAAAGCCAAUGAGAGAAUGAUGUUGAAGGAACUCGGCAAAAUGAUUCCGUAACUUCGGAAGAAGGAAUAACCUUGCGAGGGCAACCUUGCAAGGUUGGCACAGAAUUGGGGGUAGCGACUGUUUAAUAAAAACACAGGUCUCUGCAAAUUUGUAAAAAGAUGUAUAGGGACUGACACCUGCCCGGUGCUGUAAGGUUAAACUAUGCUGUUUUGGCAGUGUACAUAAGCCUCAGUAAACGGCGGCUGUAACUCUGACGGUCCAAAGGUAGCGAAAUUCCUUGUCGGGGACU